rnacentral:tRNA from 1 species
AGGGGGAUUAACAAGAUUAGCUGCUAACUAAAUCUUUAAGCGGUUUACCCCGUUUACCCCCUU